UACGAAGGGGGCUAGCGUUGCUCGGAAUCACUGGGCGUAAAGCGCACGUAGGCGGCUUCUUAAGUCAGGGGUGAAAUCCUGGAGCUCAACUCCAGAACUGCCUUUGAUACUGAGGAGCUUGAGUCCGGGAGAGGUGAGUGGAACUGCGAGUGUAGAGGUGAAAUUCGUAGAUAUCAUUUGGAACGCCAAUGGUGAAAACAGGUAGCUGGGGCUGUGCUGACACUGAGACACGAAAGCCAGGGGAGCGAACGGG
rnacentral:rRNA from 1 species